CUCUACUGCCAUGUCACCCUGAACAAGCCUGAUCCCGACUGAUCUUGGAAGCUAAGCAGGGUCAGGCGUGGUUAGUACUUGGAUGGGAGACCACCUAGGAAGACCAGGGGCUAUAGGCA
ensembl:rRNA 5S_rRNA 5S ribosomal RNA